rnacentral:lncRNA from 1 species
GGGCAGGGGAGCCGCGCUGUGACCGCGGGGCAGGCCUCACCGAGGACGCCGAGGGAGGUGGAGGAGGAGGCCGGGCUCGCGGGCGUGUGAGAGCUGCCGGACGCCUCGGUGGGUGAGAAGAAUAACCCGGACUCGUCUUCGCCUCUGCUGGGCGGGUUCUCUGCUGACUGUACGAGUGACAUUGGACAGAGACAUGGCUUCCAGAACCCUGCAGGGAGAGCCCGCGCUGCAGCCGCUCCCAAGUCCGUCCUGGCCGCUGUUUACCUGGAAUCAUCCCGUGGGUCCCGCCAAGCAGAUGUUAGAGAUCUUCUCCUGGAACCACAGGCCGGGCCCACAUGGCCGGCAGACGCCCACCCCACUCCCGAGAGGACCUUGUUUAACCAGGGUCCCCAUGCGCUGCGUCUGCAAGAAGCCUGCCCAACUGCGGACUUGGCGGCCAUCCCAAGAGGGCUGUCACUGAAACUGACCACAGUGGGCGAAGGGCUCUGGGGGAAGAUCUCAACAGUGGGACCGCUGGCCUCAAGGCAAAACUCAAGGCCAUCAGCUGUUUGGGUAAAAUGCAAUGAUGUCCAUGAAAUUGUCAUUAAACUCUUGCUUGCGUGAAUAAUUGAGCAUGAGAUCCACGUGCACUGACUUCCUGGGGCCUGCUCAGGAGGGAGGCUGGGGCGACCUGGGCUUCAGGUGCCGGGCUCUGAGGGAGUCCGCAAACGCCCAGGGACCGAGGGGCCAAAGCAGGUCUGCACACUUGCCAGGCCCAGGAGCUGCUCCUUUAUCUCUUCUCAGGGAAGGCAUUUUCUGCCCAUUUCCUGCUCUGCCUGGCCCAGCAGGAAGGGCGCGGUGAGAGGAGCAGAUGGGAGGAAGAGACAGAAAAGCAAGAGGCCUUGAGGGUUGGAGUUGAAGUCCCGCUAAACCCAAGGUACACGUCAUGAUUCUGCAGCUUGCUAGCUGUGUGACCUUUAGCAAUUCACUGUACCUCUCUGAGCUUCAAUUUCCUUAUCUGAAAAAUAAGGACCGUAACUCUCAUCUUUUCAGAAAUGUUGAUCAAUUUCUCCAGGUCCGUCCCUCCCUGCCCAGCCCACAGCCCUGAUAAGUUCUCUCCCCCCUCCCACCAUCACCACCAACCCUCAGCUUAUUAGCAGCAUUGAGGUGGACACCUGGUCCACACUGGACAAAUAUCAGAUUUUCCCUCCCAGGAGUCUCGGUUUGGAACAUGGAGACAGUCAUUAAGCUGUGGAAGCCAGCUGGAAGAGCACGUGGCUCAGGGAUGGAGGCCGCCAUUUUGGCAUGGCCUUGGUGGAUGGGAAGUGAGCAGAAAGCCGGCUACAGCAGGAGGGAAAAAGAUGGGUAGAGGGAGCUAGAGAUGAGUCAGACUGCAGAUCCAGUCAGAGACAGAGGCAGACACAGAGACAGGGAGGGGCCCUGUCAGGUGACCCAAGACCCAGGACAUUGGCUG